rnacentral:rRNA from 1 species
GAUCAUGGCUCAGGAUGAACGCUGGCGGCGUGCUUAACACAUGCAAGUCGAACGAAGCAUUUGGACGGAACUUUUCGGAGGGAAGACUAAAUGACUUAGUGGCGGACGGGUGAGUAACACGUGGGUAACCUGCCUCGCACAGGGGGAUAACAGUGGGAAACUGCUGCUAAUACCGCAUAAGACCACAUCAGCGCAUGCUGAAGUGGUAAAAGAUUUAUCGGUGCGAGAUGG